UGUUUUGGAGGGACUGGUUUUUUAUAUCAGAAAGACAGUUAUCAAUAUUCAGUAUCAAAACAGUUGCACUAUUGAUUUCUCUUUCUCCCAAUCGGCCCCAAAGAGACCACAUCAAAGGAGAGUACAUUUCAAGCCAAUAAGCUGCAGGAUGUACACCUAACAGACCUCAUAGAAACCUUACCAGAAAAUGGGGACUGGGUAGGGAAAGAAACUUUAAAAGAUCAGCAAACUGCCAGCCCACGGACUGCAGAGGCUGUCACAGCCAGAUGGGGGUGGCCAGGGUGCCACAAACCCAAGGAAGCAAAGUUUCAAAAUAAUACAAAAUUUAAAAAAAUUUUGUAUAUAAGGUAUUCAAGGGCACUUUUAGAGAUAGCAACUUCAAACCCAGAAAAGGCUAAUGAGAUGAGUUUCACAUGGCUAAAUCAGUGGCUUUAAUUUUUCUCUGCUUGUUGGACAUGAAGAGAGGGAGACAAAGGCUCUCAGAAAGAGAAAGACGGGCUGGUGAAGGACAAACUAAG
rnacentral:lncRNA from 1 species